rnacentral:rRNA from 1 species
AUACGGAGGGUCCGAGCGUUAUCCGGAAUCAUUGGGUUUAAAGGGUCCGUAGGCGGGAAUCUAAGUCAGUGGUGAAAUCUUGCAGCUCAACUGUAAAAUUGCCAUUGAUACUGGAUUUCUUGAAUUAGUGUGAAGUGGUUAGAAUGUGUGGUGUAGCGGUGAAAUGCAUAGAUAUUACACAGAAUACCAAUUGCGAAGGCAGAUCACUAACACUAUAUUGACGCUGAGGGACGAAAGCGUGGGGAGCGAACAGGAUUAGAAACCCCGGUAGUCC